GACGAACGCUGGCGGCGUGCUUAACACAUGCAAGUCGAACGGAGCGAAUGAAAGCUUGCUUUUAUAAGCUUAGUGGCAAACGGGUGAGUAACACGUAGACAACCUGCCGACAGGAUGGGGACAACAUUCCGAAAGGAAUGCUAAUACCGAAUGAAGUGCAGGGGAGGCAUCUCCCCUGCAUGAAAGAUGGCCUCUUUUUAUGCUAUCACCUGUUGAUGGGUCUGCGUCUGAUUAGCUGGUAGGUGAGGUAACGGCUCACCUAGGCGACGAUCAGUAGCCGGUCUGAGAGGAUGAACGGCCACAUUGGGACUGAGACACGGCCCAGACUCCUACGGGAGGCAGCAGUGGGGAAUCUUCCGCAAUGGGCGCAAGCCUGACGGAGCAACGCCGCGUGAGUGAAGAAGGUCUUCGGAUCGUAAAGCUCUGUUGAUGGGGACGAACGUGCCUAAUGCGAAUAGUUUUAGGCAAUGACG
rnacentral:rRNA from 1 species